AUACGAAGGGUGCAAGCGUUAAUCGGAAUUACUGGGCGUAAAGCGCGCGUAGGUGGUUCGUUAAGUUGGAUGUGAAAGCCCCGGGCUCAACCUGGGAACUGCAUCCAAAACUGGCGAGCUAGAGUAUAGCAGAGGGUGGUGGAAUUUCCUGUGUAGCGGUGAAAUGCGUAGAUAUAGGAAGGAACACCAGUGGCGAAGGCGACCACCUGGGCAAAUACUGACACUGAGGUGCGAAAGCGGGGGGAGCAAACAGGAUUAGAUACCCUGGUAGUCCACGCCGUAAACGAUGUCGACUAGCCGUUGGGAUCCUUGAGAUCUUAGUGGCGCAGCUAACGCAUUAAGUCGACCGCCUGGGGAGUACGGCCGCAAGGUUAAAACUCAAAUGAAUUGACGGGG
rnacentral:rRNA from 1 species